CAGUAGCCACGGUAAUACGGAGGGUGCAAGCGUUAAUCGGAAUUACUGGGCGUAAAGCGCACGCAGGCGGUUUGUUAAGUCAGAUGUGAAAUCCCCGAGCUUAACUUGGGAACUGCAUUUGAAACUGGCAAGCUAGAGUCUUGUAGAGGGGGGUAGAAUUCCAGGUGUAGCGGUGAAAUGCGUAGAGAUCUGGAGGAAUACCGGUGGCGAAGGCGGCCCCCUGGACAAAGACUGACGCUCAGGUACGAAAGCAUGGGGAGCAAACAGGAUUAGAUACCCGUGUAGUCCCUGUCUCUUAUAC
rnacentral:rRNA from 1 species